CCUACGGGGGGCAGCAGUGGGGAAUAUUGGACAAUGGGGGGAACCCUGAUCCAGCCAUGCCGCGUGUGUGAAGAAGGCCCUCGGGUUGUAAAGCACUUUCAGUGAGGAAGAACGCCUGGUGGUUAAUACCCAUCAGGAAAGACAUCACUCACAGAAGAAGCACCGGCUAACUCCGUGCCAGCAGCCGCGUUAAUACGGAGGGUGCGAGCGUUAAUCGGAAUUACUGGGCGUAAAGCGCGCGUAGGUGGCUUGAUAAGCCGGUUGUGAAAGCCCCGGGCUCAACCUGGGAACGGCAUCCGGAACUGUCAAGCUAGAGUGCAGGAGAGGAAGGUAGAAUUCCCGGUGUAGCGGUGAAAUGCGUAGAGAUCGGGAGGAAUACCAGUGGCGAAGGCGGCCUUCUGGACUGACACUGACACUGAGGUGCGAAAGCGUGGGUAGCAAACAGGAUUAGAUACCCUUGUAGUC
rnacentral:rRNA from 1 species